rnacentral:lncRNA from 1 species
UUCCAGGACAGCGAGGGCUAUACAGAGAAACCCUGUCUUGAAAAACCAAAACCAAACAAACAAAAAACAAAAGAAUAGGAACAGAAACUUCAGAGGGAGAAAGUCGCUCCAGCCCCUUGCCCUCCUCUCUCUGUUAUCUCCUUUGCUAUCUUGAAUCUCAUCUCCUGGGCUUUGUCAGUCAAAACUCUGGGCUGGGAGAGGCAUAGCAAGAGAGACUCAAGACUAUCUUCACCAUGUAGGUUUUAGAAACUCAGUAGGUCUUUAAUAAUUGGCUCCCCUAGCCCAGCCACAUCAGUGUGAAAGCUGAGAGCUUACCUUAAGCCAGUGGUUCUCAGCCUUCCUAAUGUUGCGCGACCCUUAAACACAGUUCCUCAUGCUGUGAUUCCCCCAACCAUAAAAUUAUUUCUGUUGCUACUUCAUGGCUGUAAUUUUUCUACUGUUAUGAGUUGUAAUUUAAGUAUGUGUUUUCUGAUGGUCUGAGACAACCCCUCUGAAAAGGUCAUUUGACCCCCACCCCCACCCCCCCAAGGGGCAAGACUAACAGGUUGAGAACCACUGCUUUAAGCUUCUCCUGCCCUGCACGGAAGAUAACACAGCUCUUAUUUCUAUUCCAUUUGAUUCGUCUUUAAUUACACCGCGUCAGCCAUAAAGCAGACACAAAUGGGGCUAUCUGAACCGAAAGAUAAACAGAUGUCAGGUGACCGCUAAUCAGUCUGCUGUAUGGCAAUAAACGUGAGACCUUGUGCUGUGGCGGCUUACUGGCACUAGACAUUUCACUAUAGAAACCAUAAUCCCUCUUGUUGCUAUGGAGAUUAAUCAGGAGGAUCAGACUUUGGAUGGGAGGGGCGGGUUUGUUCCAGGGUGCUCUUUGAAAAUUUUCAGCCAGGAGGAAGAACAAGAAAGGUGGAUAUAAUAAAGAUGAAUGAACCUCUCUAUUUAAACUCUAGUUAAAUGUCCUGUUUCUAAACAGGCAUCAGCUUUUCCUUUCCGUCAGGGACGCAUUUUCCCUUCCCUAACCAAAGCUGUACUAAGUGUGUCCGAGUCCCAUGUGCUUUGCUAGGGACUCCUCAGCCCUGGGGUGGAAUGGUGAUUAUAGCAAACAAGUGGGCUAUCUCCCAUGACCAAAAAGAAAGUUGGGGAGGAAAGGGUUUAUUUGACUUCCACAUUGCUGUUCAUUACCAAAGGAAGUCAGGACAGGAACUCAAACAAGGCAGGAACCUGGAGACAGGAGUCAAUGCAGAGGUUGUGGAGGGUCGCUGCUUACUGGCUUGCUCACCCUGGCUUGCUCAACCUGCUUUCUUAUAGAACCCGGGACCACCAGUUUAGGGAUGGAACCACCCACAAUGGGCUGAACCCUCUCCCGUCAGUCACUAAUUGAGAAAAUUCCUUACAGCUGGAUCUCAUGGAGGCAUUUUCUCAGUUGAGGUUCCCUCUUUUUAGAUGACUCUAGCUUGUGUCAAGCUGACCUAAAACUAGCCAGGACAAGUCCUAUCUUCCCUUUUUAGAAACAGAACCUGAGUUUAGACCACGAUGCUAUCACCUGAGUGCCAUUGUCUCUCACAGUGGGCACAAAGUGGUCCAGGCAGCACCACCCUGGCUCUCAUAGGUAUCGUGUUUGUAGUGCACACACUCUCUCAUAGGUAUCGUGUUUAUAGUACACACUCUUUGGUAUUUUGCCUCUACC